UACGUAGGGUGCAGGCGUUAAUCGGAAUUACUGGGCGUAAAGCGUGCGCAGGCGGUUUGCUAAGACAGGUGUGAAAUCCCCGGGCUUAACCUGGGAACUGCGCUUGUUACUGGCAGGCUUGAGUGUGGCAGAGGGGGGUGGAAUUCCGACGUGUAGCAGUGAAAUGCGUAGAGAUGUGGAGGAACACCGAUGGCGAAGGCAGCCCCCUGGGCUAACACUGACGCCUCAUGCACGAAAGCGUGGGGAGCAAACAGG
rnacentral:rRNA from 1 species